rnacentral:rRNA from 1 species
GACGAACGCUGGCGGCGUGCUUAACACAUGCAAGUCGAACGGAAAGGCCCUGCUUGCAGGGUACUCGAGUGGCGAACGGGUGAGUAACACGUGGGUGAUCUGCCCUGCACUUCGGGAUAAGCUUGGGAAACUGGGUCUAAUACCGGAUAGGACCGCACUUUAGUGUGUGUGGUGGAAAGUUUUUUCGGUGUUGGAUGAGCUCGCGGCCUAUCAGCUUGUUGGUGGGGUAAUGGCCUACCAAGGCGGCGACGGGUAGCCGGCCUGAGAGGGUGUACGGCCACAUUGGGACUGAGAUGCGGCCCAGACUCCUACGGGAGGCAGCAGUGGGGAAUAUUGCACAAUGGGAGCAAGCCUGAUGCAGCGACGCCGCGUGGGGGAUGAAGGCCUUCGGGUUGUAAACUCCUUUCGCUAGGGACGAAGCUUUGUUGUGACGGUACCUAGAUAAGAAGCACCGGCUAACUACGUG